GGCCCCAGGUGACAUACAGCAUGGUGUGAGGUGGCCGUACCUCAUGCAGAGUGAUGGCGGAAUAUGCUGCAUAGUGUGCGGCCUCCCCACACAGUGCUGGGUCUCUCUGGUC